UCCCAGCAGUCCAAGUCGUGGCCACAUUUAUUAGGUCUAAAACAUUCGUAGCUUGUUUUGUAAGUCUUUUGUGAAAUAUUAUUGCUUAACAAUAAUGCGUGCAAAAGAUACUGCAUUGCUAGAAACCGGGAGACGUAAUGAGUACGACUGAGGUAGCGGUAAAAUGUUUUAAUCUUAGUCGGACUAACAAUGGCGAAGGCACAUUACGAGAACGGAUUUGACGGUGAGGAAUGAAGGCCAGGGGCGCAAAAUG
rnacentral:rRNA from 1 species